UAACUGAAUAUUUAAGAUUCUGUAAUGUUCUCUAGAUGAUGAUCUAAACUCCAGAUGUCAAUGAAUUCAGGCAAAAAGAUUUCAUACCCAGACAAAAGCAACUUAGUGGAGGAUCUAAAGUGAGUAUAAAAUGACCCAUGAAAUGCUGGGAUACAAGUCAGAAGACUAGGAGGAGAUGACAUGGAGGUUGAGGACAUGGGGUGGUGAGAGAGGUUGAGGAACCCCACGGAGGCAAGGGCCCAGAGGAGGAAGCUGUGUAGAGAUGGAGAGCUGUCAUAACUCAAUGAUACAACCCAUACUACAGCACUCAGCAAUGCAGUCUUUGACCAAAUGUAAUCCCUCCAUAAAAUGUGAGAUUUUAUUGGGGUUUUUGGAGGAGGCAUCCAGAGAACAGCACCCUUCUUUUCCACCUGGAUUCUUAAAAAGUAGUUGGGAAAUAAAUCAAAAGUAGCAAAUGGGGGA
rnacentral:lncRNA from 1 species